AGAGUUUGAUCCUGGCUCAGGACGAACGCUGGCGGCGCGCCUAACACAUGCAAGUCGAACGGAGCUGAGAGGAGCUUGCUUUUCUUAGCUUAGUGGCGAACGGGUGAGUAACGCGUGAGUAACCUGCCCUGGAGUGGGGGACAACAGUUGGAAACGACUGCUAAUACCGCAUAAGCCCACGAUCCGGCAUCGGGUUGAGGGAAAAGGAGCAAUCCGCUUUGAGAUGGCCUCGCGUCCGAUUAGCUAGUUGGUGAGGUAAUGGCCCACCAAGGCGACGAUCGGUAGCCGGACUGAGAGGUUGAACGGCCACAUUGGGACUGAGACACGGCCCAGACUCCUACGGGAGGCAGCAGUGGGGAAUAUUGCACAAUGGGGGAAACCCUGAUGCAGCGACGCCGCGUGGAGGAAGAAGGUCUUCGGAUUGUAAACUCCUGUUGUUGAGGAAGAUAAUGACGGUACUCAACAAGGAAGUGACGGCUAACUACGUGCCAGCAGCCGCGGUAAAACGUAGGUCACAAGCGUUGUCCGGAAUUACUGGGUGUAAAGGGAGCGCAGGCGGGAAGACAAGUUGGAAGUGAAAUCCAUGGGCUCAACCCAUGAACUGCUUUCAAAACUGUUUUUCUUGAGUAGUGCAGAGGUAGGCGGAAUUCCCGGUGUAGCGGUGGAAUGCGUAGAUAUCGGGAGGAACACCAGUGGCGAAGGCGGUCUACUGGGCACCAACUGACGCUGAGGCUCGAAAGCAUGGGUAGCAAACAGGAUUAGAUACCCUGGUAGUCCAUGCCGUAAACGAUGAUUACUAGGUGUUGGAGGAUUGACCCCUUCAGUGCCGCAGUUAACACAAUAAGUAAUCCACCUGGGGAGUACGACCGCAAGGUUGAAACUCAAAGGAAUUGACGGGGGCCCGCACAAGCAGUGGAGUAUGUGGUUUAAUUCGA
rnacentral:rRNA from 1 species